rnacentral:rRNA from 1 species
GAUGAACGCUGGCGGCGUGCCUAAUACAUGCAAGUCGAGCGAACGGACGAGAAGCUUGCUUCUCUGAUGUUAGCGGCGGACGGGUGAGUAACACGUGGAUAACCUACCUAUAAGACUGGGAUAACUUCGGUAAACCGGAGCUAAUACCGGAUAAUAUUUUGAACCGCAUGGUUCAAAAGUAAAAGACGGUCUUGCUGUCACUUAUAGAUGGAUCCGCGCUGCAUUAGCUAGUUGGUAAGGUAACGGCUUACCAAGGCAACGAUGCAUAGCCGACCUGAGAGGGUGAUCGGCCACACUGGAACUGAGACACGGUCCAGACUCCUACGGGAGGCAGCAGUAGGGAAUCUUCCGCAAUGGGCGAAAGCCUGACGGAGCAACGCCGCGUGAGUGAUGAAGGUCUUCGGAUCGUAAAACUCUGUUAUUAGGGAAGAACAUAUGUGUAAGUAACUGUGCACAUCUUGACGGUACCUAAUCAGAAAGCCACGGCUAACUACGUG